rfam:Oryza rufipogon genomic scaffold, chr03
AAUAAGUACAGUUUUACAUUAUUCACGUUCAACAUUUAACCAUUCAUCUUAUUUAAAUUUUUUUAUGAUUAGUACUUUUAUUGCUAAAUAUUUUCAAAUUUUUCACAAUUUUUUUAAAUAAGACGGACGGUCAAAUAUUGGACACGGAUAUCUACGGCUGUACUUAUU